UACGGGGGGGGCAAGCGUUGUUCGGAAUUACUGGGCGUAAAGGGCUCGUAGGUGGCCAACUAAGUCAGACGUGAAAUCCCUCGGCUUAACCGAGGAACUGCGUCUGAUACUGGAUGGCUUGAGUUUGGGAGAGGAAUGCGGAAUUCCAGGUGUAGCGGUGAAAUGCGCAGAUAUCAGGAAGAACACCUAUGGCGAAGGCAGCUCUCUGGGACGGUACUGACGCUGAGACGCGAAAGCGUGGGGAGCGAACAGG
rnacentral:rRNA from 1 species